GCCCCAGUGGCCUAAUGGAUAAGGCACUGGCCUCCUAAGCCAGGGAUUGUGUGUUCAAGUCCCAUCUGGGGUG
rnacentral:tRNA from 1 species